GGCACUUGCAACUUUAUUGCGCCAGCAAGAACAUGCAUACAGCCCAGUCUAACGUACAGGAUCAAAAAGAGACCUUAUUUCGGCUGGCAAUUACCUUACCCGCUUGUUCAUUAUCUGACUCCUGCACUCCUCCCAAGUGUUCAAUGUUAACCAGAUGGCAAAGUUAACCAGACAGAGGAAAUCCACAUAAUUACUCUAGAUGAAGCCCCCUAACUGCGGAUUAGAAGGAAAAGAGAUGAAGGGUGCUGCACUAAUAAUAACAACCAUUUUCAACCAAGGCAGGAUUCUGGGCCUAGAAUCUUCAGUGACAAAUUACCAGGAGAGGAGGAGGGAAAUGAAGAGCUGGAGGCCUAGGGAGAUGGUGUGAGGAGAGGAGACUGUGCCUUUCCACUUCUUAAUAAUUAAUGUUCUCCUGCUGCUCUGAGUCUGCAUGUAAGUGGAUUUGUGACCUCUCAGCUGAUGAAAACCAUAGCACAAGAAGAGUAAAAGUGUGCUGCCUUGUUUCUUACUUGCUAAUUAGCCACCUGAGCCCAGGGGGGUUUAUAAGUGGCCUCAAGCCCAAUUACUGAUUUUGUUCCCAGAGGCAGAGAAGGCUUGAGUCAAAUCACCCUGAUUCUCAGGGGAAAGGCAGCACCGAGCAUCCAGGGUACCCUCUAAUGGCCCAGGCCUACUCUUGUCCAGCAAUGUACCACCAAGAUGUUGAACUUUAAAGGACUAUGUCUGACCAGGAAGGACCUGCUGUCUAGAGCUGCCAUUCUGAUUCUUGGAGCUCGUAUACAGAUACAUCCGCAACCAUGGGGCAGGAAACAGAUGUACCAGUGCAGUCAAGACCAAUACCUGCUCAUACCUGUGGCCAAAAGCAUGAUGCCCCAGGCUCUGCCUCCAAUUCUACCAUCUUCUUCCAUCUUUCUCUUUUAUCAGCACCAGUGAUUCAGUUUGAGUCAGACAUCCAACAACAACUGAGCAAAAGAAUCAUCUCAGAUCCAAGCAAUGGUGACGCGCAGAUAGAAGAGACUGAGGCCAACGACCAAAGCAAAGGACAGCAGAACUGACUGACACAGCUCAGAAAAUAUCCAAAGCUCUGUAUGCUCUGGAAAGGAAGACAAGAAAUGCUAAAGACUCUGGAUAUUGCUCUGUUUCUAUAAGGUCCCACCCAUAUACCAUCUCUUCUUUUGGAUUUCCUUUGGCAGUAACCUGAAGUUAUAUAAGUGGCAUGUUCCCAAGUACAAAGGGAGCCCUUCUAUUGCUUCUGCUUACAAAGAGGUGUCAACCUAAGAAAAAGCCAGAACAAGCCAAAGUUCAGGGUUCCCUUGUAUGGAAGUUCUCAGGAGAACAACACUCUCAGAGUCCCACUGUCUCAAAGAAUUCUUAAUGGACAGCUAUACUUGGCCCCAAGGUUUCAACCUCACACUGAAGAAAGUGACAUAAGAAAACACAAGUCCCAGUGCUAUCAGGGGCUAUCUGGAAAAGCUGCUUAAACAGCAAGUGAAAGAAGGCUCUCCCCUACCCCGUUCUAGAUGACAGGUCCUAUGUAAGAUACACAUACCACAUGCUGUCAACCCAUCUGAGACACUCAGCUUUCAAAUGACAGUUCUUCUCUGAAGCUAACCUAGCCAAAAGAGUGAAAUACACUAUCUGUUAAGCUGUGUCAGUAGCUAAGUCUGUGUGUCUAAAUUAAAAACAUACUCACCCUGAAGUUAUUUGAAGGAUCCUUGAGACUCUUUUGGAUUGCUGCUUGGAGAACAUUCCUGUAACUUGUCCCUGCUCCUUGAACUAUAAAAGCAGAAGGGAGGUACUGAGUUAAAACUUACAAAUUAUUAUCAAAUAAAUCUUCAAUAGUGGUUCAGUCCAA
rnacentral:lncRNA from 1 species